rnacentral:rRNA from 1 species
AUGUCUAUCUACAGCGGCGGCGGCAGAAACACAAGCACAUGGACGACGACGAACUCCUUUAACUUUACCUACAAAGAACGAACGCUGUGCCGAAACAGGGGAGGGAGGUCCGGGAGAGGCAAUGUACUUAUUUCUUGUAGACAUGAUGGUGACGAUGAUGAUGAUGACGAUCAUGGUUCACCGGCCGUCGGCGGACGUGAAGGACUCGGCGAACCCGGCAGGCCGGGCGGGGAUGCUGCCCUUGCUGUCUUCCAGGCUCAGGCUCAUGAUGCUGCCGUCCGUCAUGCUCGCCUCCGACUCCUGCCACCCCUUCACCAUCUGGAGCAGCGGCAGGUGCAGGUCGAGGUUGUUGACCCGGCCGUCGCGGUCGCAGGAGACGUGGUCCCACCCGCCGCCGCACGGGUCGGCGCCCUUGGGCCAGCCGAGGACCUCCGGGUUUGUGAGCGAGCGCCGCAGGUCCUCCAGCACGGCCAGGUCGCCCGGGUGGAUCGUCGCGGCCGUGGCCACCCCGCCGCCGAGCAUGGCGUCGGCGGCGAGGAGGAGGAUGAGGGGGAGGAGCGGCGGCGUUGCCAUGGGGCAAGGCUACGGGUCCGGGUGCAUUGGCGGCGGCGGGGCGGACGGAGGUGGGCUGCGGUGGCGUCGGCGGUGGGGUGGGGAGGAAGGAAGGGAGGGAGGGAUGGGGGUGGGGAUAAGCGGCGAGGUGAGGGGGAUUUGCCUCGUGCUUUGGUGUGGUUUCCUUUGCUGUGGUCGGCAGCGUCGCCGGGAAUGUGA